AUGGUCUGGAAGAUCUGUAUAAGAAGGUUCAUGCUGCCAUCAGAGCUGACCCUACUUUCAAGAAAUCCGAGAAACAGGCACCAAAGGAGCACAAGAGGUACAAUCUUAAGAAACUCACUUAUGAGGAGAGAAAGGCUAAAUUGGUUGCACGGUUGCAGGCUCUCAAUUCUGCUGCUGGUGAUGAUGAUGAUGAGGAUGAUGAGUGAAAGUUCAUCAUUCAUGCUGUAACAGGAGCUGCUGCUGUCUUAGCUUGUAUUUAGUCAUUAUGAGCAGUUAUUUUGUAGAUCACAAAUUUUGGAUACUUUUGGAGUUGAGUUAGCCUUUCAUUUUGUGUCGGGGAUGAUUAAUGUGUUAUAUUUUAUUCUCAUGCACUACAGAUAUGUUGGUUACAAUAUAAUCAGAUUUUGUUUACGCGGUAUUCUAAAUUUUUAUUAUCA